ensembl:snRNA U1 U1 spliceosomal RNA
AUACGUACUUGGUAGAGGAGAUACCAUGAUCAUGAAGGUGGUUUUCCUAGGGUAAGACUCAUUCAUUUCAUUGUGGGUGUGUUGACUCCUGAGAUUUCCACAAAUGUAGGAAACUCAACUGCAUGAUUUGUGGUAGUGGGGGAUUGCGUUCAUACUCUCUUCUG